CGACNUUUUGCUGCACUCGGAAAUGCAUCUAAGAUGANUUAUUGAUCAUGGCUCAAGAUUGACGCUGGCGUAAGGCCUAACACAUGCAAGUCGAGCGGAUGAUGGGAGCUUGCUCCCGGAUUCAGCGGCGGACGGGUGAGUAAUGCCUAGCGAAUCUGCCUGGUAGUGGGGGACAACGUUUCAGAAAGGAACGCUAAUACCGCAUACGAUCCUACUAGGAAGAAAAACAAGGGGACCUUUCCGNGGCCAUUNCGCAUAUUCCAAAUUAAAGCCCAUANAAGGUUCCAGGAAUUUAACAAAAGGAGAGGGCUAAACAGGGCACUAACCA
rnacentral:rRNA from 1 species